UAAAACCAUAGAAAGAAGCUUAAAAAGACCCUAGACCAAAAACCUAGGGGUAGACCUAAGAGAUCCGCCGUUUUCAAUACAUAAAAUAGACCCCCCCUGAAGAUCAUCUUCUUCGAGACCCCCUCCCCCCAUCGAUUCAUCUUCUUCAACCGUUUUCAACAUAGGAACACCCCAAAACAGACCUCAUCCCAACGACCUCCCUCUCUAAAACAAAACCAGCAACAACCAACGUUCACCAGUUCCGCCAUGAACGACCACCCCCAAGAGAAAAACUAGAUGCUCUCACUUCUGCUUCCUCACUCAAGUUGUUGCUUCGCUGGAAUUGAUCACCGGCGAGUGGCGACACCACUAGCAAUGGAUCUGGCUAGAAACCCCAAAACACAGCCGCGAUUCUGUCAGUUAUACAAAAAACGAAAAAUUAUUCUGUUUUUCUUCUUCCAUUUUUCCGACUUUCAUCUCAAAAAUCAGAGGUGUUGUCCACUGAUUUUCGUACCAUAAUGAAGGUCAUUUGAUGUAGUUUAUGGAUUCAAAAUAUCUUGUACCGGUUCGAGGUUCUGUCAAGGUCCGUGUUCGAGGGUCCUAUCCGAUUUGAGUUCCGAUCGUGGUUGUGGUUUGUUUCCACCCGUGUAACUGCUGGAAUUUUUAUUAAUUGAAGGCAACUUGAGGUUCAAUUCUUUCCUCUCUCAUUCUAUUCUAAUAUCGAGUUUAAUAUGUUUGAGACCUCUUUCUAUGGUUUUGUUUGAUCCUUGUAGUUGUAAAUCUCCCACGUUGAAUUGACUGAAAGUAUCCCUAGAAAGUGUCCAAAUUGGAAUUAAUCUUUAAUUGUUCAAGUGAAAGAAUGCAUACCAUUUAUGUGACUUCUACUUAUUUGUUAAUGUGGAUCGAUACUCAGAAUUAAGACUAUGCCUUCGCCAUAUGAAUACUAAGUAAUAAUAGCAUGGCACUUCGAAUUAGAUAUGAGAAUUUUUUGUAUUGUUUUUUUCUUCAAAACAUUAGAUUCUGUAUCGAGAGAGUAGUAUGAGAUAAGGGUAUUUCCGAUUUUCUCUAAUCUAUCGGGAGUCUAAUGGUGUAUGAGUACCAUUCUGUUGAUCUAGCUCAUUUUGUGGUUUUUGAAAAAAUUGUGCUAAAAGCUUAUCAUCUUAGACAUUCUUAUUGGACAAGACGUUCCUUUCCCAUAUUAAAAGUAUUGUGUGAUUGGUAAAACGUGGUGAUGGAACAUUUAUUGACCGAAUAUAAGUAUAUGAAUUGAUCAGAUAUAAGUAUUAAUCAAAGUACGCAUUUGCGCGAUUUUGGACGAAACGAUCUUAAUAAUAAUAAAAUGCUAUUAAUCGUGUAUAUGUUCGCGUGAUACGAGUAUUAUUUAAAGAAUGAAUAUUCUUAGAAAAAUGGAUUGUCACCUGAAUACAUUAUGCUAAAUAUGUAUUUGCUGCUGUAUGCAAAGUCUUUGUUUUGUUUCUGUAGUUUUAUGACAAGUUUCCAGGAUUCUUGAGCUCUUGUAAGUCUUAAAACACAUCUAAACUAUAAGGAAGAAGACUUAAUUUUAUACGUUGCAAAUGGAUUCAUCAAUAAUAAGCUCUUGUUCAGUUUGAAAUUGUGGUUAGCUUUGUUGCUUAUAAUUUUAACAUAAAGAAGGAGAAUGUAACUGUUGAAAAAUUAUUGUAGGAUAGUUCCUCCAGAUGCUUGAAUGCAUUGAAUAUGAUAACUGGUGUGGCAUUCAAAAAUAAAUCGAGGUAUGCGUUCGCGCAACUUCGACCAAACUUUCUUAAUAUUAAUAAAGCGUGAUUAAUUGUGGACACGUACGCGUGACAUGACUUUGGACGCGCCAAACAAAUGGUACACGUGCGCGUGACCUGUUUUGAGAUAAUUUCACAAUUAAAAGAGGUAAAUGCACAUAGGUUCUAAAAUAAGUAAUUAGACAAUUUGAUUAAGCCAAGUAUGAUCAAAGUGACCGUGCUAAAACCAUAGAACCUCGUGAAUGCCUAACACCUUCUCCCGGUUUAAUAGAAUUUCUUACCCAAAUUUCUGUAUUCGUAGACCAUAAAUAAGAGUCAACUUCCUCGAUUCAGAAUUCUAAAUCGGUGACUUGGGAAACCAUAAAUUAUCCCAAGUGUUGACUCUGAAUUUAUUAUAAAUAAUUCCGUUUUGAUUGUCACUUAAAUUAGAAAAAACUCCCUUAAUACCCCUUCCGGGGUAGUAAAAAGGAGGUGUGACAGCUCUGACGAUCUGCUGGGGAUAAGAACCCAGAAUCUCUGGUUCAGGGUUCAGAAUUUGAGCUUGUUUCUAUGAUUUUUACUUGGCUUUAUUUAUUAAUCAUAUUAUCAUAUUUGUGGACCUAAUGUGCUAAAUGUUGUUUAUUUACAGGUUUUCAUAUUACUUGAACUGUAUUAAACUGUCUCCCUACGCCUCCCUUCUGAGUCUUCAAAACAAAAAAAAAGUGCACACAUUCGCAUGGCCCACUUUUUCUGUUAGAAGUUAUACCAAAUAGAACGAGGCUGGGCCAGUGAUUAAAGCCAACUCUACACUACUACAAAGUAUCAAGAGUGGUCGAAGCAGCUUUUACCCGAGAGGUCGGGAAAGAUUUCCACAGGGAGAUAGAGAUGGGAAUUGAGUUUAUAUCUAAAUUAAAGAUGCGUAAUUGCUCCUAAUUGCACUUCUAAUCAUAGUUGGUUUUGAUAUUACUUCUAAAUUUAUACUAAUAAGAUGAUAAUUAAGCUAAGUUAAGCUAAGAGUAAACUAUUGAAGGUUGUCUAAAUAGUUUAAAGGUACGAGGGAAGUGACUUUCUCCUAGUUGGAUACUUGACGGGUUUUUGAGUCUAAGUCUAGGUUGUCAUGUUGGGGAUUAUGAUAUAACCAUUGCACGAUACUACUCACUUUAUACCUCUCGGUAGUUUGAGUGAUUUUGCCCUAAUUGACUUUCUCAAGACCAAUUGGGUAUGAUAAUUUGUGCAAGCAAUUGAGGUUCAAGUCGGGUAGUACUAUCUCUAGGUUUAACCCUUCAAUUGGGGCUAUCAAUCUCUUGAAUACGCUCCAAUUCCUUGUUGGACUAAUUUUCCCAGACUUAGGCUCUCUUUCUCAAGAAGAGCCCAAGUCAAAUAGGCACAAAUUAGUGUUUGCAACCACUAAUUCAACAUUAAAAUCAUAAAUUAGUCCAAAUAUCAAACGCCCAUAGACAUUCAAGCCUUAAAACACAAGACUCAUCAAAUACUCACACUAGGGUUGAGCCAC
rnacentral:lncRNA from 1 species